rnacentral:rRNA from 1 species
GGGGAAUAUUGGACAAUGGGCGCAAGCCUGAUCCAGCCAUGCCGCGUGAGUGAUGAAGGUCUUAGGAUUGUAAAGCUCUUUCACCGGGGACGAUAAUGACGGUACCCGGAGAAGAAGCCCCGGCUAACUUCGUGCCAGCAGCCGCGGUAAUACGAAGGGGGCUAGCGUUGUUCGGAAUUACUGGGCGUAAAGCGCACGUAGGCGGACAUUUAAGUCAGGGGUGAAAUCCCGGGGCUCAACCCCGGAACGGCCUUUGAUACUGGGUGUCUUGAGUUCGGAAGAGGUGAGUGGAAUUGCGAGUGUAGAGGUGAAAUUCGUAGAUAUUCGCAGGAACACCAGUGGCGAAGGCGGCUCACUGGUCCGAUACUGACGCUGAGGUGCGAAAGCGUGGGGAGCAAAC